GGCUGUACGGUGGCGCAGUUGGUAGAACUGUUGCCUUGCAACGGCUGUGCGAUGGCGCAGUUGGUAGAACUGUUGCCUUGCAGCAAGAAGGUCCUGGGUUCGAUUCCCAGCCGGGGGUCU